UAGAAGGCCUGAUGUA
rnacentral:rRNA from 1 species